AAUAUAGAUCUGCUCUGCAAUUAAUUUACAUGACAUGACGAUGGCGUCAAUUCAUAUCCAUUCGUUAGAACAUGAACAUUUAUAUUUUGUUCUUCGGAAAACAAACUGGACAUAUAAGGGAAUAUACUAAACCGAAACAGAAAAAAAUAUGGCAAUCUCUUUGCAUAAUCUGGAAUGUAAAAAGGCAUAGCUCCUAACUCAAGCUCUAAUCUAACCUAGACCUUUGCUACUUCUAGUAAUUGUAUCAUCUGAACAAGUGCAACACAAUUGUUCUAAGUUCUCAACUGAAUGCCCAUAUCCAUAAAAUUAAAAUGCUUCAGAAAGUAUGAAAAUGCACUCAAACGUGAUAAUGCUUUCUAGUAAUCACUGCUUAGAACUGAGGUGACAAUGCAACAAAUGUGUCAAGAGGAGAAUGAGCAAGAGUGGAUUUGGAGUUAAAGGAGAAACCAAAUAUGGGGACAGAAGGAGAAUGAGCAAGAGUGGAUCUGAAGGUAGGAGGAGAAACCAACCAUGGGGCUCGUCAGCUCGAUUAAAGCGUCGAAUUCAUCCGAGGGCCAACAUUCGGCGAGCGAGCACCGUUCUGUCCCUGCUGCUCCUUGCGCCCCACACCGGCCUCUCCUCUAUCCUGCAAUACAUGCACCCGCCGUUAGCCUCCUCACAGUCCCGGCCCCUGCAACCCUGUCAUGAAGACCGCGCCGCCCUGCUCCCCCAGGGCGAUGACCUGCAUCUGAUCCGGGAGGAGGGAGGUGGAGUGGCGACGGCAGCGGCCGGCGAGGGAGUGAAGGGAGAUGCAGGAGGACGGGGAGGGAGGCGUCAAGCAGCUGGGGCGCGU
rnacentral:lncRNA from 1 species